AAUGAAUCUAAACAGUUCAUUGCGUUUGAUCUCGAUCGUUCGAUCGCGCUUACAGGAGAAAUGAAUAUGGAUUGUUCAUCACGUUUGAUCUUGAUCGUUUAAUCGCACCUAAGAAAAAAAUAGAUCCGGAUCGUUCAUGCAUGCGAGAUCGAUCCUGUACCGUCCGAUCGUGGGGCACGCAGAUCGCCAGCAUAACCUCCUGCAUGGCGCCGAUGUCAACGCGCCUAGUCAUACGGUGCGCUCCGGUUCGUCGAGACUGCUGACUGCGCAGUCCUACAUGGUCGAAUUAUUUUUAUUUGCAC
rnacentral:lncRNA from 1 species